rnacentral:rRNA from 1 species
UACGAAGGGGGCUAGCGUUGUUCGGAAUCACUGGGCGUAAAGGGCGCGUAGGCGGCUUUGUAAGUCGGGGGUGAAAGCCUGUGGCUCAACCACAGAAUUGCCUUCGAUACUGCAUGGCUUGAGACCGGAAGAGGUAAGUGGAACUGCGAGUGUAGAGGUGAAAUUCGCAGAUAUUCGCAAGAACACCAGUGGCGAAGGCGGCUUACUGGUCCGGUUCUGACGCUGAGGCGCGAAAGCGUGGGGAGCAAACAGG